AACGAUCUUAAAAUGAUCUUCUAAAUUUGUACAAGUCAAUUCACUCAAUAGUCAAUAUCAAAUUGUAUACUUGUUUGGUUAUUUUAUAUGUAGAUCAUGUUGACAUCUUGUCUUUAUCUUUAUCUAUUUAUAUGUACCGUAUAUUGUCGUAAUAAGAGUGCGAAGACAAUAAGUUCUUCAUCAUGUGUUUAUGGCUUUGAAGGUGGGUCGCAGAAAAUCAUACAAUUGAUUACGAAGUCUAUAUACCUCAUACCUGUGCUCAGAUUUGGAAAUUAUUUUGAGAUGUGCGCAAGCAAUAAUAAAAGUAUUGAAUCCCUGGGAGAAGUCCACCACUAAAUUAUUAUGGGGUCUUCUCGUAGACACCCGAGUCCAAAACAUUUUCUUGCAAAAAUAUUAUAGUUUUUUCAAAUAUUUGCAAAAAUAUCAAAAUUUUAAAUAUAUUUAUAAAAAUACUGUAUGUAAAACCGUUGCAAUCACGCAAGCAACAGAUCCUCUCCUCAUAUAUGUGUUUUUGUUUUUGCACUUAUUGACAUUAGCAGGUAGCCAAGUACAGUGAUGAAAAUGGCUAUACUACCCUUAGUUCUAACUACAGCACUAGCUUUGUUAAAUGAUUUUUAACAAAAAUACACAUAAUACAAAAAUCUUGAAACUAGCUACAUAUACACGCUUUGCUGGAUUCGAAAAUCGCAUUUUACUCAAAAUACUCCCUCUGUUUUUUAAUAUAUGACGUUUGACUUUUUGACAAACAUUUUUGAUUUCUAGUUAUUGGGAUUGGGAUACUGAUCUCGGAGUUAAACAACAAAGGGGCAAUUUGAGGUCCACCGACCACCGUGAGUGUUGACUCCAUGAUCCAUAUCGCGUAUAACUCAAUUCUUAUCUUGAAGUUCAAAUAACUGAUUACAUACACCAACUUGUAUAAUGUACCCUCCAUGUAGCUGCAAAUUGUAGACAACUAUAUCCUAUUUAUCUUCCAUUUUAUUCGAUUUCCAUUUGCAUUUGCGGCCGCUCAUGACGACUUGUUGUUAUCCACAGCGCUUCAAAUACAAGAAACUGUAAUAUUACCGUUUACCGGAACAUUUUGUUGAAAACGAAUCAAACCGAUGCAUAUGUGCUAAGUGCUAUCAUGUUUCAUCACUGUUGAACUGUUCAGUACAGUUGACUUAACUCGAACCUAGUGGAGUUUCUACCGAACUCGAUUGCAAUGAACGGUGGAAAGAAAUGAGCCCAAUAAGGAUACAGAGUGGCCAGACAUAAAUUAAACGGCAAACAUCUUGUGAUUGAAAUUGAAUUAAACAUAUUCAAUCAACUAAAUCUGAUCAUAUCUCGAGUAGGGUUUUUCUGGUAUAUUUACACUAACAAAUGUACUCUCCACUUAGAUGACAAGGGGAGAUAAUUGUUUGCGGAGAUUAGGAGCGGGUUUGGGUAAGUUUAAAAUUGUGACUAUGUCCAGUUGCCAACUUUAACUUAUACUAAUUAUUUUCGACCGGAUUACAUUUUCGACCGUAUAGGAUCAAAUAUAAUUGUGGUAAAAAAUUAUGGUCGAAAAUAGCCGCUUUUCCGAUAGUGUUUUCCUUUUUGGGGUCCGCGGACUUUGCAUUUUCCUUUGAGUGUUUUCCUUUUAAAUAUUAAGAUUUUUUAUCUAAAUUUUCAUGAGACGUAUAUGGAUGUCCUCUAUUUAGAUGAAAUACGUUUAUGUGUGGAAGAAGCUCUCACUUUCGAUAUUACAUAUCGAUAUAAUUCGUUUACGUAAAAUUUAAU
rnacentral:lncRNA from 1 species